rnacentral:rRNA from 1 species
GACGAACGCUGGCGGCGUGCUUAACACAUGCAAGUCGAACGGAAAGGCCUGCUUUCCCUUGUGGAUUGCGGGUACUCGAGUGGCGAACGGGUGAGUAACACGUGAGUGAUCUGCCCCCAACUUGGGUAUAAGCCUGGGAAACUGGGUCUAAUUCCCGAUAGGACUGCAGGGUGGUGCCUGUGGUGGAAAACGAUUUUCUAGUGGUUGGGGAUGAGCUCGCGGCCUAUCAGCUUGUUGGUGGGGUAAUGGCCUACCAAGGCGGCGACGGGUAGCCGGCCUGGGAGGGUGGACGGCCACAUUGGGACUGAGAUACGGCCCAGACUCCUACGGGAGGCAGCAGUGGGGGAUAUGGCACAAUGGGCGGAAGCCUGAUGCAGCGACGCCGCGUGGGGGAUGACGGCCUUCGGGUUGUAAACUCCUUUCGACCGCGAGGAAGCCACCUGGUUGGAAGGGUGGUGACGGUAGUGGUAGAAGAAGCACCGGCUAACUACGUG